rnacentral:rRNA from 1 species
AUUGAACGCUGGCGGCAUGCCUUACACAUGCAAGUCGAACGGCAGCAUAGGAGCUUGCUCCUGAUGGCGAGUGGCGAACGGGUGAGUAAUAUAUCGGAACGUGCCCUAGAGUGGGGGAUAACUAGUCGAAAGACUAGCUAAUACCGCAUACGAUCUACGGAUGAAAGUGGGGGAUCGCAAGACCUCAUGCUCCUGGAGCGGCUGAUAUCUGAUUAGCUAGUUGGUGGGGUAAAAGCUCACCAAGGCGACGAUCAGUAGCUGGUCUGAGAGGACGACCAGCCACACUGGGACUGAGACACGGCCCAGACUCCUACGGGAGGCAGCAGUGGGGAAUUUUGGACAAUGGGGGCAACCCUGAUCCAGCAAUGCCGCGUGAGUGAAGAAGGCCUUCGGGUUGUAAAGCUCUUUUGUCAGGGAAGAAACGGUUCUGGAUAAUACCUGGGACUAAUGACGGUAUCUGAAGAAUAAGCACCGGCUAACUACGUGCCAGCCGCCGCCGUAA